rnacentral:RNase_P_RNA from 1 species
GUGGGCGGAAGCUCAUUGUAGAGGUCACAUGCUGAGUGCUCGUCACUCCACCAAUCACCUCGGGGAAGGUCUGAGACAAGAGCCAAUAGUUACCCUUGCAGGGUAUCACCUGAUUCGGGUGAGCGAGUGAACAGAAAAUAUGGGUUAACGUGAGCAGUCGUCGCAGGAGAAGCUUGGUGGCGCAGUUUCUCAGCACCACCGGCGGAUGUGACUCUCACUGACUUGGAAUCGCUCGCGGCUGGCGGAUGAGUGCGAUGUAUGAGGUGGGGCACAGCUCCAGAACCCAAUUCAGACUACUCUCCCCCCAC